UCUAGAGGCUUCGGCAAUGCCCGAAAGGGUGACCGAGCGACGCCGCGUGUGGGAUGAAGGGCUUCGGCCUGUAAACCACUUUUCUCUGGGAAGAAACUCCGGGUCGUGCACCCGGGGCUGACGGUACCAGAGGAAUAAGCCUCGGCUAACUCCGUGCCAGCAGCCGCGGUAAGACGGAGGAGGCGAACGUUGUUCGGAAUUAUUGGGCGUAAAGGGCGUGUAGGCGGAUCGGCGGGUCCGGCGUGAAAUCUCCACCACUCAACGGGGAGGUGCCGCUGGAAACUACCGAUCUGGAGUUCGGCAGAGGAGCGUGGAAUUCCGGGUGUAGCGGUGGAAUGCGUAGAUAUCCGGAAGAACACCUGUGGCGAAGGCGGCGCUCUGGGCCGACACUGACGCUGAGGCGCG
rnacentral:rRNA from 1 species